UACGUAGGGGGGCAAGCGUUGUCCGGAUUUAUUGGGGCGUAAAGAGCGUGUAGGCGGCCACACAGGUCAGCUGUGAAAACUCGAGGCUCGACCUCGAGACGUCGGUUGAAACCGUAUGGCUAGAGUCCGGAAGAGGAGAGUGGAAUUCCCGGUGUAGCGGUGAAAUGCGCAGAUAUCGGGAAGAACACCCGUGGCGAAGGCGGCUCUCUGGGACGGUACUGACGCUGAGACGCGAAAGCGUGGGGAGCGAACAGG
rnacentral:rRNA from 1 species